UACGUAGGGUGCAAGCGUUGUCCGGAAUUAUUGGGCGUAAAGGGCUCAUAGGCGGUCCAUCGCGUCGGGAGUGAAAAGCUGGGGCUUAACCCCAGUCCUGCUUCCGAUACGGGUGGACUAGAGGUAGGUAGGGGAGAUCGGAAUUCCUGGUGUAGCGGUGAAAUGCGCAGAUAUCAUGAGGAACACCGGUGGCGAAGGCGGAUCUCUGGGCCUUACCUGACGCUGAGGAGCGAAAGCAUGGGGAGCAAACAGG
rnacentral:rRNA from 1 species